CCUACGGGUGGCAGCAGUGAGGAAUAUUGGUCAAUGGACGAGAGUCUGAACCAGCCAAGUAGCGUGAAGGAUGACUGCCCUAUGGGUUGUAAACUUCUUUUAUAAAGGAAUAAAACGAGGCACGUGUGCCUUUUUGCAUGUACUUUAUGAAUAAGGAUCGGCUAACUCCGUGCCAGCAGCCGCGGUAAUACGGAGGAUCCGAGCGUUAUCCGGAUUUAUUGGGUUUAAAGGGGGCGUAGAUGGGUUGUUAAGUCAGUUGUGAAAGUUUGCGGCUCAACCGUAAAAUUGCAAUUGAUACUGGCAGUCUUGAGUACAGUUGAGGUAAGCGGAAUUCGUGGUGUAGCGGUGAAAUGCUUAGAUAUCGCGAAGAACCCCGAUUGCGAAGGCAGCUUACUAGACUGUGACUGACAUUGAUGCUCGAAAGUGUGGGUAUCGAACAGGAUUAGAUACCCGAGUAGUC
rnacentral:rRNA from 1 species